UACGGAGGGGGCGAGCGUUAUUCGGAAUUAUUGGGCGUAAAGGGCGCGUAGGCGGCUUGACAAGUCAAAGGUGAAAUCCCUCGGCUCAACUGAGGAACUGCCUUUGAAACUGUCUGGCUUGAGGCCGGGAGGGGGUAGCGGAAUUCCCAGUGUAGCGGUGAAAUGCGCAGAUAUCGGGAGGAACACCAAUGGCGAAGGCAGCUCGCUGGGACGGUACUGACGCUGAGGCGCGAAAGCGUGGGGAGCAAACAGG
rnacentral:rRNA from 1 species